CAUCACAGUGCAGCCCCACCUGUGUUCCAUGGACCCCUUUUUGAUGUCAUGGCCUAUCGUAUUUUCUAGUUUAAUGAUAUAGAAACGUUCCUCCAGGAGAGCAGGAUAUGGGAAAAACAACCAAGCUCCUCCCUCCGAACAAUUACAACUUUGAAAUUAAGAAGCUCCAGCUGAAAGUUUUGGAAAAGAAAAAUAACCACUGUUUACUAAAGAAUAUGUAUAUAUAUUUAUAUAGUUUCCUUCUGGACAAACUGUCCAGACCACAGCUGGAUAAACACAUCACGUGGUGAGUGGGCAACUGGCUCCCAGGUUGGGCACAAAGAGUUACAGUGAAUGAGGUGACAUCAGGCUGGCACCAGUCACUGGUGGGGUUCUGCAGGGCUCCAUCCUCAGCCCAGUUCUCUUCAACAUCUUCAUAAAUGACUUGGACACAGGACUGGAAGGAAUAGUGACAUCCAGCACUCAGCUUUCACUCCAGAAUAAAGCUGUUCAGCCUGGUGAACACAGACCUUCCACUCCUCCCAAGUACAGCAACCACAGCAUUACUUAAUUUCUUUGGAUGAAAGAAAUAAACAGCAUUUAAGUGUCACUGUAACAAUUCUAUAUCCUUUCUUA